CACUUCCGGAGAAUCCUGAAAAGGUACCGAAGGGGCAAUGCGUUGUUAGCGCAAAUCUCUCAGGUAAAAGGACGGUUG
rnacentral:ncRNA from 1 species